GACCCAAAGAUUAUAUGCCUAUUAUUUCUUUGCAAGAAAUACAACGGACUUCUAAUCCGUAGGUCAGGGGUUCGAAUCCCUUCUGGGACGCCA
rnacentral:tRNA from 1 species